AAGUCGUAACAAGGUUUCCGUAGGUGAACCUGCGGAAGGAUCAUUAACGUGUUCUUCAGGCCGCCGGGUCGGCCCUGCACCGGCGGAGACGCCGUGAUGCGGGCUCCCGACGCGCCUUCCACACCAAACCCCUGUGAACCUUUGGGAGGGCUCGAGAGGGCCGUCCCCUUUACAAACUCUUGUCAUUUUUAGAAUGAACGCGGACUCUGUCCGCCUAAACAUGUAACAACUUUCAACAACGGAUCUCUUGGCUCUC
rnacentral:misc_RNA from 1 species